CAGGUCUUGACAUCCUCUGACACUCCUAGAGAUAGGACGUUCCCCUUCGGGGGACAGAGUGACAGGUGGUGCAUGGUUGUCGUCAGCUCGUGUCGUGAGAUGUUGGGUUAAGUCCCGCAACGAGCGCAACCCUUGUUCUUAGUUGCCAGCAUUCAGUUGGGCACUCUAAGGAGACUGCCGGUGACAAACCGGAGGAAGGUGGGGAUGACGUCAAAUCAUCAUGCCCCUUAUGACCUGGGCUACACACGUGCUACAAUGGAUGGUACAAAGGGCUGCAAGACCGCGAGGUUUAGCCAAUCCCAUAAAACCAUUCUCAGUUCGGAUUGUAGGCUGCAAUUCGCCUACAUGAAGCCGGAAUCGCUAGUAAUCGCGGAUCAGCAUGCCGCGGUGAAUACGUUCCC
rnacentral:rRNA from 1 species